rnacentral:lncRNA from 1 species
AUGGAAAAUAUCUUCCCACCUUGGGAAACUGUUUCAAAUUUACAAAAUACCACAGAAAACUGCCAACCCAAUGCUACUUUGGAGUUACUGCCAAGACACUAUUUUGACCCAGUUAUGAAUGCAGAGAGCUUCAAUAUAUACAGUGCUAUGCAUGCUGUGGCCUACAGUCUCCAUGAGAUGAAUCUUCAGCAAAUACAGACAUAACCACAUGUUAAUGGAGAUGGAAAGGAAUUCUUCCCCUGGCAGUUCCUUUAUUUCCUAAAGAAUGACCUACUGAAAAAUCUCUUGAGAGGUCACAAAAUACUGGAUGGGAGAAAAUGCCUAGAUUCAGAGUAUGACAUUCUCAAUUUUUGGAAUUUUCCAAAGGGUCUUGGAUUAAAGGUUAAAGUAUGCACCAUUUUCAUAUGCACCAUUUUCUUCAGAUGCUCCUCUUGGUCAACAGUUGUCUAUGUG